GAAAUGCGAUAAGUAAUGUGAAUUGCAGAAUUCCGUGAAUCAUCGAAUCUUUGAACGCACAUUGCGCCCUCUGGCAUUCCGGGGGGCAUGCCUGUCCGAGCGUCAUUACGCACCCUCAAGCCCGGCUUGUGUGAUGGGCCCCGGCGUCUCGUUCGCGAGACGGGCCCGAAAGGCAGCGGCGGCGUCGACCCGAUGAGCCCGAGCGUAUGGGGACUUCUGUCACACGUUCGCGGUGCGAACCGGCGCCUGCUUUGACUUUUCUGAUUAUCCAGGUUGACCUCGGAUCAGGUAGGGAUACCCGCUGAACUUAAGC
rnacentral:misc_RNA from 1 species